CAGCCGCCGCGGUAAUACGAAGGGGGCUAGCGUUGCUCGGAAUCACUGGGCGUAAAGGGUGCGUAGGCGGGUUUUUAAGUCAGAGGUGAAAUCCUGGAGCUCAACUCCAGAACUGCCUUUGAUACUGAAAGUCUUGAGUAUGGGAGAGGUGAGUGGAACUGCGAGUGUAGAGGUGAAAUUCGUAGAUAUUCGGAAGAACACCAGUGGCGAAGGCGGCUCACUGGCUCAUACUGGACGCUGAGGUGCGAAAGCGUGGGGAGCAAACAGGAUUAGAUACCCGAGUAGUCCCUGUCUCUUAUAA
rnacentral:rRNA from 1 species